CUCCAGGUGAUUUUGAUGCAGCUAAAAUUUCAACCACGAUGCCAAUUGGAACUACGUCUGUGAUUUUAAAGGAUAUUGAUAUCUUGGUUCCAACACCCAAAAGAUGCUGAUUUUAAUUCAUUUAGGGUAUGACUGAGUGUCAGCAUCUGGACUUACAACUUUCAUGUGACUGUAAUGUGCAGACAACUUUAAGAAUCACCACUAGAAAGAGAAAGUCUUGAAUCUCUGCUGCAAAUGUCCCUGGAGCUUCUGUCGUCUCUUCGUAUCUCCAAUCUUCAUUGCUCAACUCUUAUUUUAAUUUACAAGAAAAGCAACUCCGUGCAUUUCUUCAUCUGUAAGUUUGCUCGCCAUGCAUGCGAACAAUCGCCAAGUGAAGAUCGUUCUGAAGCCAGAGAAUGGUAUUGCAAGGUCGCGCUGAAUCUGGUCCACCCACUGGCAAGGACUGGUCCAAUGAGGACCUGGUCAUGGCAAGAUGAACACUAUGCAGGGACAUUGCUGGCACAGUUCAGACCUGUGACAUGAAUAUGGGCAAACAUCGGCACGUUCACAGCUGCAGGUGCAGACUGCUGAGCUGUAGAAGCUGACCGAAGAAUAAGCAUUGUUCACUCUGACCAGAGAGCCCAAUAGUCACCAAGCACAGUGACCCAAGCUUUCUAGAACUCCUUGCAGUCUGACUGGAGGGCCGGGGUCAUCUUUGCUACACUGUAAAGCACCUACAUGUGCAUUUCCUCAGAUGAAUCCCUCCCUGCAGAGAAUGUGCUCCAGAAUUAACCUGCUUCUUCACCUAGACAGUGACCCAGAGGAGGAGAACUGCCCUUUCAUUGUCACAGGGUGGAAUGUGCACAAGAUAGUCUACCAUUCACAUGGGCUUCUGAGUCCGAAUGUCUUCAGGAAAAGUGGUCCCUGGAUUGGAGUCACAGUUAAAUCUGGGAACUGUCUUAGUGGUCAAUAGAAUACCGGGAUCUAUGCCAAUGUGAUGACCUUUCUUUAUUAUGACCCAAUUUAUCUUUCCAAUUUUAUUUCCUUCUCUUCUCUUUGUGCUCUUGUCUCAGAACUUUUGCACUUGCUGUUCCCUCUACUGGAAUGCUUGUCUUUGUCCUUCUCCUCUGCAAGGUCACUGGUCUCUUCCAGCACAUCUCCUU
rnacentral:lncRNA from 1 species